AGGUUGACCUCGGAUCAGGUAGGGAUACCCGCUGAACUUAAGCAUAUCAAUAAGCGGAGGAAUANUUGCAUUAUAUNAAAUCAUUGCAUC
rnacentral:rRNA from 1 species